rnacentral:rRNA from 1 species
GACGAACGCUGGCGGCGUGCGUAAUACAUGCAAGUCGAACGCUUUUUCUUUCACCGGAGCUUGCUCCACCGAAAGAAAAAGAGUGGCGAACGGGUGAGUAACACGUGGGUAACCUGCCCAUCAGAAGGGGAUAACACUUGGAAACAGGUGCUAAUACCGUAUAACACUAUUUUCCGCAUGGAAGAAAGUUGAAAGGCGCUUUUGCGUCACUGAUGGAUGGACCCGCGGUGCAUUAGCUAGUUGGUGAGGUAACGGCUCACCAAGGCAACGAUGCAUAGCCGACCUGAGAGGGUGAUCGGCCACACUGGGACUGAGACACGGCCCAGACUCCUACGGGAGGCAGCAGUAGGGAAUCUUCGGCAAUGGACGAAAGUCUGACCGAGCAACGCCGCGUGAGUGAAGAAGGUUUUCGGAUCGUAAAACUCUGUUGUUAGAGAAGAACAAGGAUGAGAGUAAAAUGUUCAUCCCUUGACGGUAUCUAACCAGAAAGCCACGGCUAACUACGUGCCAGCAGCCGCGGUAAUACGUAGGUGGCAAGCGUUGUCCGGAUUUAUUGGGCGUAAAGCGAGCGCAGGCGGUUUCUUAAGUCUGAUGUGAAAGCCCCCGGCUCAACCGGGGAGGGUCAUUGGAAACUGGGAGACUUGAGUGCAGAAGAGGAGAGUGGAAUUCCAUGUGUAGCGGUGAAAUGCGUAGAUAUAUGGAGGAACACCAGUGGCGAAGGCGGCUCUCUGGUCUGUAACUGACGCUGAGGCUCGAAAGCGUGGGGAGCGAACAGGAU